rnacentral:rRNA from 1 species
AACGAACGCUGGCGGCAUGCCUAACACAUGCAAGUCGAACGAGACCUCCGGGUCUAGUGGCGCACGGGUGCGUAACGCGUGGGAACCCGCCCUUAGGGUCGGAAUACCUCCCCGAAAGGGGUGCUAAUACCGGAUAAUGUCUUCGGACCAAAGAUUUAUCGCGUUUGGAUGUUCAAGCGUUGGAUUAGCUAGUGGGUACGGUAAAAGCCUACUAAGGGGACGAUCAAUAACUGGGUUGAGAGGAUGAUCAGCCACACUGGGACUGAGACACGGCCGAGAAUCCUACGGGAGGGAGGAGUGGGGAAUAGUGGACAAUGGGCGAAGGCCUGAUCCAGCAAUGCCGCGUGAGUGAUGAAGGCCUUAGGGUUGUAAAGCUCUUUUACCCGGGAUGAUAAUGACGGUACCGGGAGAAUAAGCUCCGGCUAACUACGUG